CUUGGUGACAGUGAGGUGUUCUUUCCUUAGCAACUAGAACGGUCCCUGCUACAUGGUGAGAAUUUUAUAUUUAUUUAAUGAAUGAAUGUAGCAGUUAAUUCUCUGUUUGUGUGGGGAAACUUAGGAUAUUUGCAAAUUUUAUAAGAUACAUAAGCAUUAACACUACCUUAUAUUAAUGUAUAACAAUUUUUAUUUUUUUGAUGAGAGAGAAAUUUCAGAGUCUUGUAGUCACUUGCAGAGGAUGGCAUUAAGUAACUCUGCUGUGAGGUACUGGGGAAGUGUAGGAUAUUUCAAAGUGACGUUGGAAUGGGGUUCGUGGAUGUUGGAGGAUGCAAGAGGGUCACUAAAAAAGCAAGUCUGCAGGACAACCAGGCUGAGUGCAGAGCGUGGGCGAAGGAAGGCCUUUUGCGUGGCCAGAACUGGGGUCAUGUCAGGGGUAAGUAGAUUGAGGUCAGAUUAUGCCAAACUAAAAACUUAAUCUUGGAGGCAGUGGGGGAGCUACUGAAAACCAGAAGACAGGGGGAGGGAAGGGAAUAGAGGUAUCAAGAUCAGAUUUGUGAUUUGAGAUAAUAUUGUUGGCUCUGAAGAGGAUGGAUGAAAGUGGAGGGAGUGAGAUUAGGGAAAAUGUGAGCUAGAAAGUGAGAGAUAGCGUGGCAGAGUGGGAUAAAGGAGUGAGAAAAGCUGUUUUUGAGAUUAAAUUAAAAAGACAUGUUAAUGGAGAGAUUUGAGGGAGAAGGAAGAGUUGCUGAGUUGCUGUUAACACCAAGAUUUCUAGGAUUACAGGCAUGAG